rnacentral:rRNA from 1 species
CUAGGAAUAUUGCGCAAUGGGCGAAAGCCUGACGCAGCAACGCCGCGUGCGGGAUGAAGGCCUUCGGGUUGUAAACCGCUUUAGGCAGGAACGAUUAUGACGGUACCUGCAGAAUAAGCACCGGCUAACUAUGUGCCAGCAGCCGCGGUAAUACAUAGGGUGCAAGCGUUGUCCGGAUUUAUUGGGCGUAAAGAGCUCGUAGGCGGCACAGUAGGUCAGAAGUUAAAACGCAGGGCUCAACUCUGCGUCGCUUUUGAAACCACUGAGCUUGAGUAUGGCAGGGGAAGACGGAAUUCCACGUGUAGCGGUGAAAUGCGCAGAUAUGUGGAGGAACACCAAUGGCGAAGGCAGUCUUCUGGGCCAUCACUGACGCUGAGGAGCGAAAGCGUGGGGAGCGAAC